UAAAAGUUUUAUUCUUGCUUAAAAGGUUUAUUUUUUCUUUAUGUUAUAUGUAAGUUUUGAAAAUACUAAAUGUUCUUUUUGCAGUAAUUUGUUUUAAUUAUUAAGUUAUUUUGGAAUUAGUAAUUGUUUUAGUAUUAGCAUAUUUCGUGCCAGCAGCUGCGGUUAUACGAUUAAUACAAAUAAAUGUUUUUGGUUUUUAAUAGUUAAUUUUAUUUCUGGGUUAGAUUUAAGCAUUUUUAAGGUAAAAUUUAAUUUUUUUAAAAGAUCCUUUAUAUGAGUCUAUGAAACUUUAAUAAUAAACUAGGAUUAGAUACCCUAUUAUUUUGAGUGUUAAUUACUGUUUACCUGGGUAGUAUUAGAUAAGUUCUUUAAACCCAAAGAAUUUGGCGGUAUUUUAUUCCAUUCAGAGGAACCUACCUUAUAAUUGAUAGUACACGAUUAACUUUACUUAAUUUAUUUGUUUGUAUAUCUCCGUUAUCAGAAUAUCUUUUUAGGGUUAUAAUUUUCUUGAUUUUUAAUUAAAGAUUAUUUCAGGUCAAGUUGCAGCUUAUAAUUAAGAUGAGGUGGGUUACAAUAAACUUUUGUUUAUAUGGAUUUAAUAAUGAAAUAUUAUUAAUUAAAGUGGAUUUGAUAGUAAUUUAAUUAAUUUAAUUUAAUUGAUAUUGGCUCUAAUAUGUGUACACAUCGCCCGUCACUCUCAUUAUUUAGGAUAUUAAUAUGUGUUUAUAGUAAUAUGAGAUAAGUCGUAACAUAGUAGAUGUACUGGAAAGUGUAUCUAGUAAUAUUAU
rnacentral:ncRNA from 1 species